AGAGUAAUGGAGGGGGAAGCGGAAUUCUCGGUGUAGCGGUGAAAUGCGUAGAUAUCGAGAGGAACACUCGUGGCGAAGGCGGGUUCCUGGACAUUAACUGACGCUGAGGCACGAAGGCCAGGGGAGCGAAAGGGAUUAGAUACCCCUGUAGUCCUGGCAGUAAACGGUGCACGCUUGGUGUGCGGGGAAUCGACCCCCUGCGUGCCGGAGCUAACGCGUUAAGCGUGCCGCCUGGGGAGUACGGUCGCAAGAUUAAAACUCAAAGAAAUUGACGGGGACCCGCACAAGCGGUGGAGUAUGUGGUUUAAUUCGAUGCAACGCGAAGAACCUUACCUGGGCUUGACAUGUAAUGAACAACAUGUGAAAGCAUGCGACUCUUCGGAGGCGUUACACAGGUGCUGCAUGGCCGUCGUCAGCUCGUGUCGUGAGAUGUUUGGUUAAGUCCAGCAACGAGCGCAACCCCUGUUGCCAGUUACCAGCACGUAAAGGUGGGGACUCUGGCGAGACUGCCCAGAUCAACUGGGAGGAAGGUGGGGACGACGUCAGGUCAGUAUGGCCCUUAUGACCAGGGCUACACACGUACUACAAUGCCCAGUACAGAGGGGGCCGAAGCCGCGAGGCGGAGGAAAUCCUAAAAACUGGGCCCAGUUCGGACUGUAGGCUGCAACCCGCCUACACGAAGCCGGAAUCGCUAGUAAUGGCGCAUCAGCUACGGCGCCGUGAAUACGUUCCCGGGUCUUGUACACACCGCCCGUCACAUCAUGGAAGCCGGUCGCACCCGAAGUAUCUGAAGCCAACCGCAAGGAGGCAGGGUCCUAAGGUGAGACUGGUAACUGGGAUGAAGUCGUAACAAGGUAGCCGUAGGGGAACCUGCGGCUG
rnacentral:rRNA from 1 species